ACGGGUGAGUAAUGCCUAGGAAUCUGCCUGGUAGUGGGGGAUAACGCUCGGAAACGGACGCUAAUACCGCAUACGUCCUACGGGAGAAAGCAGGGGACCUUCGGGCCUUGCGCUAUCAGAUGAGCCUAGGUCGGAUUAGCUAGUUGGUGAGGUAAUGGCUCACCAAGGCGACGAUCCGUAACUGGUCUGAGAGGAUGAUCAGUCACACUGGAACUGAGACACGGUCCAGACUCCUACGGGAGGCAGCAGUGGGGAAUAUUGGACAAUGGGCGAAAGCCUGAUCCAGCCAUGCCGCGUGUGUGAAGAAGGUCUUCGGAUUGUAAAGCACUUUAAGUUGGGAGGAAGGGCCAUUACCUAAUACUUGAUGGUUUUGACGUUACCGACAGAAUAAGCACCGGCUAACUCUGUGCCAGCAGCCGCGGUAAUACAGAGGGUGCAAGCGUUAAUCGGAAUUACUGGGCGUAAAGCGCGCGUAGGUGGUUUGUUAAGUUGAAUGUGAAAUCCCCGGGCUCAACCUGGGAACUGCAUCCAAAACUGGCAAGCUAGAGUAGGGCAGAGGGUGGUGGAAUUUCCUGUGUAGCGGUG
rnacentral:rRNA from 1 species